GACGAAAGCGGGCGGCGUGCUUAACACAUGCAAGUCGAACGGAAAGGCCUGCUUUCCCUUGUGGAUUGCGGGUACUCGAGUGGCGAACGGGUGAGUAACACGUGAGUGAUCUGCCCCCAACUUGGGUAUAAGCCUGGGAAGCUGGGUCUAAUUCCCGAUAGGACUGCAGGGUGGUGCCUGUGGUGGAAAACGAUUUUCUAGUGGUUGGGGAUGAGCUCGCGGCCUAUCAGCUUGUUGGUGGGGUAAUGGCCUACCAAGGCGGCGACGGGUAGCCGGCCUGAGAGGGUGGACGGCCACAUUGGGACUGAGAUACGGCCCAGACUCCUACGGGAGGCAGCAGUGGGGAAUAUUGCACAAUGGGCGGAAGCCUGAUGCAGCGACGCCGCGUGGGGGAUGACGGCCUUCGGGUUGUAAACUCCUUUCGACCGCGAGGAAGCCACCUGGUUGGAAGGGUGGUGACGGUAGUGGUAGAAGAAGCACCGGCUAACUACGUG
rnacentral:rRNA from 1 species